UACGUAGGGGGCUAGCGUUGUCCGGAAUCAUUGGGCGUAAAGAGCGUGUAGGCGGUCCGGUAAGUCCGCUGUGAAAGUCGGGGGCUCAACCCUCGAAUGCCGGUGGAUACUGUCGGGCUAGAGUGCGGAAGAGGCGAGUGGAAUUCCUGGUGUAGCGGUGAAAUGCGCAGAUAUCGGGAGGAACACCUAUUGCGAAGGCAGCUCGCUGGGACGCUACUGACGCUGAGACGCGAAAGCGUGGGGAGCAAACAGG
rnacentral:rRNA from 1 species